CCUAUUUCCUUAUGCAUACUGCUAACUGCCAAAAUAUUCUCUCUCUGUCCACCUGACCCUCCAUUCCUGCUUCCUGUGACCUGGGAAUGGAGAAUUACCCUCUGGACUCCUUGUGCCCUCCCUGCUCAGGAUAUCAGCACAGAGGGACGAAGGCAAUUGCCUACCCUGCUUGAGAGAUGCAGAGGCCUGGUGUGGAGUUAGCAGUAUUAUGAGAUUGGAUCAGCCUGGAUCACUGAAUCACUGCAUGUAGGACACACUAUGGAGAGUUUCUUGUGCCAAGAUCAGACAUGGUAUAUGCAAGAAUAAAUGUGUGCGUGAAUCAAACCAGAGGUUGUGUUUAUUUUUUAAUUACUAUAUUGUAUUCUUGCUAACCUGACUAAUCCAGCCAGCAACCUUACAAUUCUAAUUAUCUGACUGUAGAUCCUCCCAGGUUGUCUAUGUACAUAAACUUGUCCUCACUUUGCAAAAGCUAACUAUCUUGUUUCUUUUUUUUCCAAUCAUGUCAACUUAAUUUUGGCUUAUUUGUUUAUUUAUGCACUGAAUGUUGAAUUGAAGAGAUAUGGUGAAAAUAUUUUACUUGCUUUUGAUUUCGAAGGAAAAGCUCUUAAAAUUUACUAUU